rnacentral:snRNA from 1 species
GAAUGUGAGGGCAAUUUGGCUAUAGCAUCUGUCGCACCCUUGAUUGNCAGGGAUGAUUUGGCUGACGAGGCUGCCUAGGCCAAUGUCCCCUUUCUCCCUAACAUCUUCAUGUGCGUCUCCCCCAAGGCUGCAUGCUAGGGGGAAACCAUCCCAGGUAGGACAGCACCAUUCUUCAGUUAAGAGUAUACAGUUAUUUAACAUCAGUUCCAGGUAAUGUGAUUAAAGAUCAAAUUAGUGUGCACAUAGAAGAACAAGCACUGCUGAAAGGAAAUCAGCUUGGCUUC